UACGAAGGGGGCUAGCGUUGCUCGGAAUCACUGGGCGUAAAGGGUGCGUAGGCGGGUCUUUAAGUCAGGGGUGAAAUCCUGGAGCUCAACUCCAGAACUGCCUUUGAUACUGAGGAUCUUGAGUUCAGGAGAGGUGAGUGGAACUGCGAGUGUAGAGGUGAAAUUCGUAGAUAUUCGCAAGAACACCAGUGGCGAAGGCGGCUCACGGGCCCGAUACUGACGCUGAGGCACGAAAGCGUGGGGAGCAAACAGG
rnacentral:rRNA from 1 species